rnacentral:rRNA from 1 species
CCGCAUCUGUGCAUGCAGCAUAUCAAUAAGCGGAGGAAAAGAAACUAACAAGGAUUCCCUUAGUAACGGCGAGUGAAGCGGGAAGAGCUCAAAUUUGAAAUCUUCAAGGUUUUACCUUGACGAAUUGUAGUUUAAAGAAGUGUUUUCUGUUGAAGUUUUGGUAAAAGUUCUUUGGAAUAGGACAUCAUAGAGGGUGAGAAUCCCGUAUUUGACCAUUAUUUUCAGCUGUGUGCUACACUUUCAAAGAGUCGGAUUGUUUGGGAAUGCAGUCCAAAAUGGGUGGUAAAUUUCAUCUAAAGCUAAAUAUUGGCGAGAGACCGAUAGCGAACAAGCUACCGUGAGGGAAAGAUGAAAAGAACUUUGAAAAGAGAGUUAAACAGUACGUGAAAUUGUCAAAAGGGAAGCGUUUGACACCAGUGUUGUUUUCUCGAAAAUCAAUUAAAAAGAGUUAGAUUUUGUUGUGUAUUGACCUUAACAGCUUGCAUUUCAAUUUUCUUGCUUUUUUUAAUGCACUUUUCGUUUAACAAGUCAACAUCAGUUUCUUUUGUUGUAAAAAGGUCAUUGGAAGGUGGCUUUCUUUUCGGAGAAAGUGUUUAUAGCCUUUGACUCCUGCAAUCGGAGAGACUGAGGUCUGCAGCGUAGAUCCUUCGGGGUUAGAUACAUUUGUGCUAAGUUAUAGCUUUUCAUAGACAACUUGUUGACUAUGAUUUAGUCAUGUAGCUUACUCGCUUAUGCUAUUUUACCUACGCUUAGGAUGUUGAUCUGUAGUGCGUGCGC